rnacentral:sRNA from 1 species
UUGUUUUUUUGGUGUUUUUUU